CCAAUGUCUAGUCCAUGCUUUUUCUAUAAUUACAAGCUUUAAAUUUAGUUUUUGUUGUUUGUUAAGUCUUAGUUAGAGAGUCCUAAGUUGCUGAGCAUUGUAGAAGCAUACUCAGAUUGUAGGAGGUCCAAUUCAGGCUUGAGAAGGUAUAAGUUCUAAUUAAGUUCUUGAAAUGGGUCUUGUUUAGUCCUUGAAAUUUCUUGAAUUGCUAUGUCAAGCAUGAUGAAUUAACAUGUUAUAAUGUGUUUAAGAAGUUUACUUACAUGUUUGAACUCUCAAACGAUGGUUUGGAACAUGUUUGAAG
rnacentral:lncRNA from 1 species